UCAGAUUGAACGCUGGCGGCAUGCCUUACACAUGCAAGUCGAACGGCAGCACGGGGGCAACCCUGGUGGCGAGUGGCGAACGGGUGAGUAAUACAUCGGAACGUGUCCUGUAGUGGGGGAUAGCCCGGCGAAAGCCGGAUUAAUACCGCAUACGCUCUACGGAGGAAAGGGGGGGAUCUUAGGACCUCCCGCUACAGGGGCGGCCGAAGGCAGAUUAGCUAGUUGGUGGGGUAAAGGCCUACCAAGGCGACGAUCUGUAGCUGGUCUGAGAGGACGACCAGCCACACUGGGACUGAGACACGGCCCAGACUCCUACGGGAGGCAGCAGUGGGGAAUUUUGGACAAUGGGGGAAACCCUGAUCCAGCAAUGCCGCGUGUGUGAAGAAGGCCUUCGGGUUGUAAAGCACUUUUGUCCGGAAAGAAAACGCCGUGGUUAAUACCCGUGGCGGAUGACGGUACCGGAAGAAUAAGCACCGGCUAACUACGUGCCAGCAGCCGCGGUAAUACGUAGGGUGCAAGCGUUAAUCGGAAUUACUGGGCGUAAAGCGUGCGCAGGCGGUCCGCUAAGACAGAUGUGAAAUCCCCGGGCUUAACCUGGG
rnacentral:rRNA from 1 species